rnacentral:lncRNA from 1 species
CAACUGGAACGAACUGCUCUGAUGCGCCGCUGCACCCUCCCUCCCUCUAAUCUUUAUCACCUUGUCUCUUCCUUUCCUUCUUCUUUGUAUUAUUUUACCUCUCAUCGUCGGUUUUCUCGAAAGCCUUAGCUGCUUCUAUCAUGUAACGCUCAGUUCAUUUUGCUUAAUGAAUGAAACAGAUAACUUGCUAUUUUUUUUUUCAAAAAAAAAAUUAUGU